CAGCAGGAGAGCAGGGGAACCUUUUGUAGUGAUAAUCAAGGUGGGCCAUUUCCAGCAGUUGACGAGCAGUAGGGAGGGAAAUAAACAAGGGGAAACAGACUGGGUUUGCAAACUUGUAUUUUUUGAUAGGCAAAGAAUAAAAUCUUUUUUUUUCUCAGAUUUUAAGCAUAUGUUAAGAGAUUGUGUUAAAUUUAAUUUGACAAUACAUAAGAAUUCUGCUUCUAACUUAAAAUCUUCUGAAUACAAGUUUUAAACUAGUAUCUUGUCUGAUCAUUAUUAAUUUAGGUUAUAAGAAUUUUGGUUGCAAGCUUAUUUGAUUUGAAUAAAUCUCUUCUAGCUGAAUGGUCUUUCUCUGCUAUAUUGAUACAUACCCUGUUUUAAACAGGUUGUAAAAACACACAGAGCAGCAGCAAUAUGAGCUUGAUAUUCAUGAAUAAGGAUAGAAAUUUGGAAGUCAAUGUGUGAGAUUAGGGUGGAGCAGUAUGCUGAUUCACUUAAGAUCUUAUCUUCCAAUGUAAAUUGACGUUAAAGAUUCUGGUGAAUGGUAACUUAAGUGUUUAAAUGUUCGUACAUGUGCAACACUAGCUUUUAAGUCUUCAGUUGCUGUAAUUGAAGUUUUUUAAUGAAAGUUUUUACUUCAGAAUAUUCAUCAUAUUACUUUGAUAAGCACUGCAUGUUUUAUUCUGGAUCAGCGUUUUGAUAGUAAUAGUGGAAUUCAUGUCAAUUUUUAUUUUAGAAAGUACGUCUCAAACUCUAAAUUGUAGAAUCUCAACAAAUAGCAAAGAUGCUAAGAUAGGAUUGACAACUGCUUUGCAUUUAAAAAAAAAUUUCCUUCCCAAAUUAUUCCUAUGAAGCUAUAUGCUAAGUAUCAGCUCCGCUUCUAAGAAAGAGUACUUGAGGUUUUCUUGGGUGGGGGAAGAGAGAAGCCACUUAAAAUUCCAUUUAAAACACCGCAGAGAAGGACACAGAGGCUCACAAAUGGUGCUGAUUUCAGUCUUCCUUUGCACUCUCUUCAUAUCUGGUGACAGCUGCAGAUGGUUUUUUCCUUCUGCCACCUUGCAAAAUACCACAUUUGACAAGCUUCUUAAUCCUUUGAAGUGGGGGAUGACAUCACUGGCACAUUCACAUGUUUCAUUGCUAGGCAACACUUAAUGUAAUUCCAUUGUUCCAUGGCUCCCCUUUGGUUCUUCACUUUAUAUCCCAAAUGUGCAUGUCUGCGUUCCAUUCUGUACAUAAAAUGCUAGCGUAUUAGAGUUGAGCUAGAACUUCUAGUUGUCUUCCCUGUGCUAAGCAACUAGUUUUGAAGGAAAUAAGCCAUUAAACAUAACUCUGCUAAAAUGUCUCAUUUUUGUGUUUUGCCCCUAGCUGAUUUUUUCAGUUUAAUAUCUAUGUAGCACCUUAUAUAUUCAGUGUUGUGCAAAUGUGAACUAUUAGAUAACUAAUUGGAAGGGGUGUUGAGAUUCGUAUUACUUCCAUUUUAUAGAGGCAGAGGUGAAAUACCUUACCCAUGGCCAUGCAGUGAGCCACCAGCAGAGCCAUGAGUAGACUUUAAGAGUGCCUGAAUCUCUCAUCCUUGUUUGUUCUUUCAGACUGUUACUCUGAAUGCAAUGUAUAGUUGGAUUUUCUGAAUCUUCUACAUUUAACCUGUUUCAGCAAUCGUAUCUCUCACCCCUAACACUUCUAUUAUGAUAAAUUCAUGUAGUUUAUGUGAAAUGCUGUCAGAUGUAUAAAGCAUAGUAAGUCAAUUUUGUCUGUUUCAUGCUGUGACAAGGGGGAGGGGAAACUUUUUUUUUUAAAGCAUACUUCAAAGGUCUUCAGAUAUGUUAAUGGCAAUUUUAAAUUCAAUUGUUCUCCAUGUUCCUUGAAAGCAGGACAAGAAGGUAAUGCCCUUAAUCUGUAGCAAGGGAUAUUUUAAGGUAGAUAUCAGAAACCCUUUCUAAAUAUAAGGAUAGUUAAGUUCUGCAAUAGGCCUCCAAGGGAGGUUGUGAGUUCCCCAUCACUGGUGGUUUUUAAGAACAGAUUGGACAAAUGUCUGUCGCAAAUGGUCUAGGGUUUACUUGGUCCUGCCUCAGCACAGAAGAUUGGACUUGAUGACCUCUUGUUGUUGUUCCUUCCAGCACUACAUUUCUAUGAUUUGUAAAACAAAAGGUGGUAGGAGGUAACAGGCAGGUGUAGAACCAGAAGUUCCUUAGCUCAUUUUAAUCCAAGUAUCAGCUCUGUAAAAUUGAAAUACUUAUGCAACCGAACAGUAACAUUUGUACUUCUUUACCACUUCUGUGGCUCCUAUUCUCAGAAAAGUCUGAAGUUGUUUGGGUCCCAUGUUGUACAUUCAAGAGGACCUGUAAUGAUGUCUUUAUCCUCUUUUUCCAAAGAUUUGUGUAUUCUCCACAUGAGAAUAAUACCUGCUUAUGACAGCAGGAGCAUAGUUCUUAAAUAGCUUCUGAAACUUUGCAGCAAGAGGAAACUUCAGAUGAGACACUUUAUUAAAACAAAGUUUCACUUUAGUUAAUUGGCAGAUUAUUCCCUCCUCCCCUCAAUAUUUUCUGUCCUACAUCACCAUGAAUUCUAAAAUAAAUUACACACAGCCAAAAUUUAUCGCUUUCAUUGUUAACUGACAUGCUUGCAGAGUAAGGCUAAUAUAGUCACUAAUGCCUUAGGUGAGCAAUGCCAUUUUUAGGCACUGAUCUGGGACUUAUCCAAAUACUGUCUUAUUUUAACUUUAUCCCUGUUCAUAUCUUACCAUGUUUACUACACCAUUUAACAUCAUUCCAGUGUCACCUUCUCUUUCUGGUCAUUUAAUAUCUUCCUAACAACUUCCCUUCUUAUAAAUAUUUAAAAAAAAAAAAUCCAGGCACACUCAUGUUUGCCACUUACAUUUAGGUUGCUUGUAUAUUAGAUUCUUCCCCACCCCUGCCCGCACACUCAUUGUGUUUAGAUUGUAAGCUCUCCAAGGCAGGGACUCGCUUCAUUCGUGCAGUUCUUAACACAGUAGGGCACCCUAGGCCCUACUAUAAUACAAAUACAUAGUAGCAUUAAGAUAUAAAUAUUAAUAUGCAUCUGCAGUUAAACUACAUAGCACCAGGGUCCCAUCAGAAGAGACACAAACUGGAUAAACCCCCAGAGCUACACUGCAUGUAACUUCAUAUGUACAGAUUGUCAGUAGCCUGUAUAUCAUAACUUUUAUUCAAGUUCAAAACAGAGUGUACCCCAUGGGGGGGGAAAUGAAGACUUAGAUUAACACCUUUUGGUAUUGGAGAUAAUAUAACGUAUUGAAUCUGAGCUCAGAUUCAGGAUUAGUUUCAUGUUUCUAGCUCCUUAAAGCCCCCAUGAUGAACUGUCUUGAUCCAUUUUAACUCAGUUUAGAUAAAUAAUGAUAUUCAGGGUCCUAUAAAAAUUCUGUAAAACCAGUUUGAAUUAACCCAAAAUGUUCUCAGUGUUCUAAAGUGAUAGUCCAUUUCCUUCAAUACAGCUAGCUGUUCCUGGCCUAGGGAAUUCUGAAGGUUUUGGUAAAGCUUGUAACUUACUAAAUGAUUAAGUACUAGCCAUAUCUAUUGCAGUAUACUAAUGUAGACCAGGAGACAGUGUGGUGACUAUUAACUUCACUUGGCUUAAGGGUGCCCUGUUGUGUUUGACAGUCCUUCCAUCUGAUGGACAGAAUAUUAUAACUGAGUACACAGCAUCCAUUAUUUUAGUUAGCAUAGUUCUCUCAUUUAAGCUGUUCAGUGCAGAAUUUACCUUGAGUGUUCUAGAUGUUGACAUGGGGCCAGGGGGAUGUGAAGAGAGGACACUGAGUUCAUUAUAUAACUAGAAAAGGAAUACAGAGGCAGAAGUACUUGCUGCUAUUGGUGUACAGUGUACUCUCUCUCAUGGGUUCAGUCCUGCGAUUUUUUGAGUGUAAUUCCAUUGAAGUCAGUGGAAGUCUUACUGCAGUUGGAAUUCAGGAUCAGAAUGAGAUUUUGCAUGUACCAGUUUAGAGUUAGAAUUUUUCAAUAAGUUGCAUCUCUACAGUUGUAGUAGAGAGCAAUAAGAUCUUCAAAAUCUUCAGCAUAAAUCUGCCAGUAAAUUACAGCAGUAUAGGUAAUGAUUUCCUCUUUGUGCAGAAACUGGCUAGUUCGUACAAUAAUACUUCUGAGAAUGUUUGUUUGUUUUUUCUUUGAAGCUGAAAUCUUACCAUACGCACCACACUGAUACACAGCAAUUAUCUGACUGAAAAAUUUUUAUUUGGACUGGAGAUAUUACCUAUUUUAAAAUGGAAAGCUUGUUACAUACCUUUCACAAAAGGUAUCUUGUUUUUAAUUUAAUCUUUUCCUUACCAAAUAAAAAUUAAUGCAUCUUAGAGUAUAAAACAGUUCCUGUAUCUGCAGAUAAUCCAGAGAGUUCUUCCUUCAAAUAGCUAGCUGUUUGGAUUUAACAGAAUUUUAGGGCUUGUCGACACUGGCACUUUACAGCUCUGCCACUUUCUCACUCGGGUGUGAAAAAACCUGAACGCAGCAAGUUUCAGCACUUUAAAGUGCCAGUGUAGGGAGUUACGCUCCUCAUGG